CUUGCCAUUCAUCGAACAUUUGGUUGGCUAGUUGCAUCCUCCAAGUAGCUCAAGCAUCCGAUGGAUGAAUAUUUGUGAUAUUCGGUUCAUCGUCAUCCACCACAUUACUAGGUAAUCCUUCUCCCACCUCCGCUUCAAUGGGAUCAAUACUCAUAUGGGUUCGAAUAAAAUUAUGGAGCAAACAACAUGCAAUAAUAAUUCUAUUGUGCACCCUUACAGGAUAGAACGAUGGACUCCUAAG
rnacentral:lncRNA from 1 species